GGCCUGGCCUACUGGGCGGCACGGUGGCAGCCGCUCGCGCCGGCCGGGCGUGGACCGUACCCGCGCUCGGACCCGCGGGCCGCGCUG
rnacentral:tRNA from 1 species